CUCUGUCUUAUCAAGCCUGCGUCUCUGUCUACAUGACAGCAGAAGCAGCAACAUCAGUCUAGUUUUCACUCUCACGCUGCCUUCCUCAAUGAUCUAAGUCUGUUUCGGGUGACUCAGUCAUCUGCUUGCUUGCUCUACGUGUAUCGCUGGGAACGGUUCUUCUUCUGAACCACAGGGUUCACGAAGCUGCAGGGGACGAAAGCCAGGCAGAGGUGUUUGAAAAAUGGACUUUGAAAUAGAAAAGGUCCCGGCCAAAGAGCGUGAGAAAUGGAGUUUGAAAUGAAAAAAUCAG
rnacentral:lncRNA from 1 species